rnacentral:rRNA from 1 species
GUAGGGAAUAUUGGGCAAUGGAUGAAAGUCUGACCCAGCCAUGCCGCGUGCCGGAUGAAGGCGCUCAGCGUUGUAAACGGCUUUUAUUCGGGAAGAAGAGCAGGGAUGCGUCCCUGUGUGACGGUACCGAAUGAAUAAGCACCGGCUAACUCCGUGCCAGCAGCCGCGGUAAUACGGAGGGUGCGAGCGUUGUCCGGAUUUAUUGGGUUUAAAGGGUGCGUAGGUGGCCAAAUAAGUCAGUGGUGAAAUACGGUUGCUCAACAAUCGAGGUGCCAUUGAUACUGCUUUGCUUGAAAUAAUUGGAGACUGCCGGAAUGGAUGGUGUAGCGGUGAAAUGCAUAGAUAUCAUCCAGAACACCGAUUGCGAAGGCAGGUGGCUACGAUUUAUUUGACACUGAGGCACGAAAGCAUGGGGAGCAAACAGGAUUAGAAACCCCAGUAGUCC